rnacentral:lncRNA from 1 species
UUUUUUAUGGGAUGGGUGUACAUGUCACAGUGGACAUCUAGCGAUCAAAGGACUUGUAGGAGUUAGUUCUCUCCACCAUGUAGGUUCUUGGGAUUAAACUCAGGUCAUCAGGCUUGGUGGCAAGGGCAACUCUAUUUUUAAAGUCCCAUAAUAGAUAAUUGGAUUGUAAUAAUAGAGCUUUUUCAGAUUAUUUUUUAAUGUCCCUAAAGAUAGAGAUUAAAAUAUGGGGGAAGAAAAGGUUCUGGUAUCUUGCUUUUGUCUUCAAAGAAUCUGCUUAAAUUUCCUUUCCAAUCCCAAAGUCAAAGGGUAGGACUCUUAAUUUCGUGACAUCUGUAAACUGGAAGGUCUUCCCCCACCCCUCAAUUAUUCUUUUGUAAAAUAGUAAAGAAUCAUUUUCUGGGUCUUUCACCUUCUAUCUAUAACUGGCUUAUCAUAGGAUCUACUUUUUACUGCAGGGUUCAAGAAAGGCUCCCACAUGACAACCACAUAGGAACUCUGCAGAGAAGGAGAUACAUGUAGCUGGCAGCGCCUUUCCCAUUUGCUUUUGAGGGGGAAAGGAGUUAAGAUGGGGGUCCUCAUUUGCUGCCCAGGCUGGGUUCCCAGUUGCAGCGAUGUUCCUGCCUCAACCUUCCAUUUUCCAGGGAUUAUAGGCAUGAACCAGUCUCAGCACAGUUCAGCACACUGUGGUUUGUUCUGCAUAGGAACCGAAAACAAGGCCUAGGAGAGAGGCGGGCAGGAAGGGCCUCAACCACAGGGAUGGAAAGGGAGGAGGAACUCUCUCACAGGGCGUAGUGGAGCCUGGACAGACGGACAGUGGAGCUGCAGACCUGGGGAGAGAUCAGUAGGCUUCCUAGCCUCUCAGCUCUGCUUGGGGUUUCCAAGGUGACGCAGCCAUCAGGGCUGUGCCAAGGGCCACCAUCCGGCCUUCAGUAUAUCAGGGCGUCUCUCCUCCACUGACUUCCUUGCCGUGCCCUCCAGGUCCCUCCACUUCCAGCUCAUCCACCAAGAGGGUUAGGGCGGCGUCCUCGGGUCCCAGCAAAGAGGAAGAGGCAGGGUGAAGCCGGUGCGGAGCAGGGGAGACUGGGUAGGGGUGGGCGACCGCCUGAGGAUACUGCGCAGCGUGCGGACCCUCAACCCUCGGUCGGUCGCGAGCC